GUUUCCCUCGUGUUGCCCCGCAAGCUGUUCCACGCAGUAAUGGAAUACGUGCGGGGCCGCGGCUGAGCGGGGUCGAACCCGGCAUCGGGACCGGGGGCUCGCUCGGGAAAACGCCUGGAUGCGGUCACGAGCCGGUGAUGGAGGAGCGUUGGCUCUGAGAGAUCACAGGGAUCCGGAACACGAGGGAAGCGCAGCAGCGCUGGCCCAAAGUCCCGAACAAAACUCACUUCCGUGCGAGCGGAAUAACUGCUGCUACUGAUUGGCAGGAGGACAAAGCAAACGGACUAAUGCACAACAUUUAAUAUCCUGGCUUCCGUCUCCUGUGACUUUGCAUACCUAUCAGCCAGCAGACAUGGCACUGACCUUCAUGGCUUUAUCUCCUGCCAUGCAUACUGAUUACCUGUGUAGGUUAUGUAUGCAUUUUUACAACACAACAUAAAUGAAAUGUGAGUUCAUUCAGCUGAUCUAUUUAUUUUUAUGAUGCAGUGCCUACAGAGGUUUACUCUCAAAGACUUACUGUAGAUGUGAUUAAUCACCUUUGACAGUUUAAGCUGGUAGUUGUUUUUUAAGUGCGGAACAUCUUUGGAAAAUCCUUUCUAGCAGAUUUGAAAGUCAGAGUUUAUUUAAUCAAGUUCCAAGUGCGUCCAAAAGGGCGUUACAGAUGAUGAGGCUACUUUGAUCUAACAAAGGAUCAACGCAGAAUAAAACAAUACACAUGAUGGUUUAUGCAACAAAGAUAGUCACACAAAGCAGAGGACACAUAAAUGUAAACACUACUGAAAGACAUGAAUGUCCUAAAAUGAUCUGACCUGUAACCGACUGUAACUUUACAAACUCAGACCAUCAGUGAAAACACUUUUUUCAUCUCCUGAGCGUAUUUAUGCUUCUUCUUUCAUCAUAAAGAUGAAACAUCAG